rnacentral:snRNA from 1 species
AGCUUUGCGCAGUGGCGAUAUCGUAACCAAUGAGGUACAACCGAGGUGCGAUUAUUGCUAGUUGAAAAAAAAAAGUCUUUGGGGGAGAAAAACGCCAAGUAUGCAAUGGUUCGCCAUUUUGAAUCUAGCGUUACUUAUGAGAA